rnacentral:rRNA from 1 species
AGCAGCAGAUUGGGCGUAAAGUGUGCGCAGGCGGUUUUGUAAGUCAGAUGUGAAAUCCCCGAGCUCAACUUGGGAACUGCGUUUGAAACUACAAGACUAGAAUAUGUCAGAGGGGGGUAGAAUUCCACGUGUAGCAGUGAAAUGCGUAGAGAUGUGGAGGAAUACCAAUGGCGAAGGCAGCCCCCUGGGAUAAUAUUGACGCUCAUGCACGAAAGCGUGGGGAGCAAACAGGAUUAGAUACCCUGGUAGUCCACGCCCUAAACGAUGUCUACUAGUUGUUGGUGGAGUAAAAUCCAUGAGUAACGCAGCUAACGCGUGAAGUAGACCGCCUGGGGAGUACGGUCGCAAGAUUAAAACUUAAAAAUGACGG